rnacentral:rRNA from 1 species
AAUUAUUAUUAGAUUUUUAAAUAAUUAUUCACGAAAUAAAUUGAGCUAAAUUUUUGGUAUUUUUGGAAAUUAUAACUAUAUGUUACAAAAUAUAUUAACUAAAUAGAUUUAGGGGUGAAAGGCCUAUCAAAUUUUAUGAUAUCUUGAAGUAUAUAAAAUAUAUCAAGUAUUUCUAAUUCAACUAUUGAAUGUUUAGGUUCAAUAGUAACAUUAUAUUUUUUAAAAAAUUGUUCAAUUUUUUUAAGUAAAAUUGAGUUAGAGCAUAAAAUAUACAUCAAAUUUUUAUUAUAUGAAUAUAAAUAUACUACGGUUAUUAAUAAAUAUAAUCAUAUAUAAUGUAAUUAUUAGUAAUAGUUUAUUAAACUAUAUAAAGGAAUUCGGCAAGAAAAUUUUUCACCUGUUUAUCAAAAACAUAGCUUAUUGAAUAUCAUAAUAAGUAAUCCCUGCUCAAUGGAAAUCUAAAUAGCCGCAGUACCUUGACUGUGCAAAGGUAGCAUAAUCAAUUGGCUUAUAAUUGAAGUCUGGAAUGAAUGGGUAAUCUGGAAAAUAACUGUCUUUAUUUGUAGUAUUUUGAAUUUACUUAUAAAGUGAAAAUACUUUAAUAUAAAUAUAAGACGAGAAGACCCUAGAAAUUUUUUGUUAAUAACUUUUGUUGGGGCGACAGGGUAACAUAUAAACUUACUUACAUUUAUAUAAAUCUUAUAAGGUACGUAACUAAAUUACUCUAGGGAUAACAGCAUAAUAUAUAAAAGUUUAUGACCUCGAUGUUGGACUAGGUAAUUAAAUAUUUAAAAGAUAUCUUAAUUUGCUCUGUUCGAGCAGUACCACCUACAU